rfam:Triticum aestivum genome assembly, contig: Triticum_aestivum_CS42_TGACv1_scaffold_001735_1AL
AAUCUACUCCCUUCGUUCCGAAUUAUUUGUCACGGGUAUGGAUGUAUCUAGAUGUAUUUUAGUUCUAGAUACAUCCAUUUCUGCGACGAGUAAUUUGGAACGGAGGGAGUAGAAA